UACGUAGGGUGCAAGCGUUGUCCGGAAUUAUUGGGCGUAAAGAGCUCGUAGGCGGUUUGUUGCGUCGGCUGUGAAAUCCCGAGGCUCAACCUCGGGUCUGCAGUCGAUACGAGCAAACUAGAGUGUUGCAGGGGAGACUGGAAUUCCUGGUGUAGCGGUGAAAUGCGCAGAUAUCAGGAGGAACACCCGGUGGGCGAAAGGC
rnacentral:rRNA from 1 species